rnacentral:rRNA from 1 species
CCUACGGGAGGCAGCAGUGAGGAAUAUUGGUCAAUGGACGAGAGUCUGAACCAGCCAAGUAGCGUGAAGGAUGACUGCCCUAUGGGUUGUAAACUUCUUUUAUAUGGGAAUAAAACGUUCCACGUGUGGGAUUUUGUAUGUACCAUAUGAAUAAGGAUCGGCUAACUCCGUGCCAGCAGCCGCGGUAAUACGGAGGAUCCGAGCGUUAUCCGGAUUUAUUGGGUUUAAAGGGUGCGUAGGUGGAUUGUUAAGUCAGUUGUGAAAGUUUGCGGCUCAACCGUAAAAUUGCAGUUGAAACUGGCAGUCUUGAGUACAGUAGAGGUGGGCGGAAUUCGUGGUGUAGCGGUGAAAUGCUUAGAUAUCACGAAGAACUCCGAUUGCGAAGGCAGUUCACUGGACUGCAACUGACACUGAGGCUCGAAAGUGUGGGUAUCAAACAGGAUUAGAUACUCGUGUAGUC